UUUCCCGCCUCUGUGCGGAAGGGAGAGCCUUUCCGUGACUGUCGAACUUCGGGAACACUGUCAUGGAGUUGCUCUCUUUUCCGCG
rnacentral:pre_miRNA from 1 species